rnacentral:rRNA from 1 species
UGGGGAAUAUUGCACAAUGGGCGCAAGCCUGAUGCAGCCAUGCCGCGUGUGUGAAGAAGGCCUUCGGGUUGUAAAGCACUUUCAGCGGGGAGGAAGGCGAUAAGGUUAAUAACCUUGUCGAUUGACGUUACCCGCAGAAGAAGCACCGGCUAACUCCGUGCCAGCAGCCGCGGUAAUACGGAGGGUGCAAGCGUUAAUCGGAAUUACUGGUCGUAAAGCGCACGCAGGCGGUCUGUCAAGUCGGAUGUGAAAUCCCCGGGCUCAACCUGGGAACUGCAUUCGAAACUGGCAGGCUAGAGUCUUGUAGAGGGGGGUAGAAUUCCAGGUGUAGCGGUGAAAUGCGUAGAGAUCUGGAGGAAUACCGGUGGCGAAGGCGGCCCCCUGGACAAAGACUGACGCUCAGGUGCGAAAGCGUGGGGAGCAAACAGG